rnacentral:rRNA from 1 species
UACGUAGGGGGCGAGCGUUACCCGGAUUUACUGGGCGUAAAGAGCGUGUAGGCGGCUGGCCAAGCGUGAUGUGAAAUCUUCGGGCUUAACCCGAAAACUGCAUUGCGAACUGGUCUGGCUAGAGUGUGUGAGAGGGUAGUGGAAUUCCCGGUGUAGCGGUGAAAUGCGUAGAUAUCGUGAGGAACACCAGAGGCGAAGGCGGCUACCUGGACAAUUGCUGACGCUCAGGCACGAAAGCGUGGGGAGCAAAAGGG